UUCAAGGGAUGCAUCUGUUCCAUUGCCAUGUAAAGGGGAUGUUGCUUAUGUCUUAAGUCUCUAUCGACCUUGGUGGAAAGAGAUGUUGAAUGAAAGAAUUGGAAAAUGUGGCACACCCUGCUACAAGAGUAAUUUGCAUUCCCCUGUUCAUGCUCUUGGUAUUAAUCAGUUCUUUAAGUGACAUGCAGCACCACCUUCCCCAAGCGAUCCUGGAGUGAAGAAAGUUGCAGACAAAUUAGCAAGUUUUGUA